UACGUAGGGCGCAAGCGUUGUCCGGAAUUAUUGGGCGUAAAGAGCUCGUAGGCGGUUUGUCGCGUCUGCUGUGAAAGUCCGAGGCUCAACCUCGGAUCUGCAGUGGGUACGGGCAGACUAGAGUGUGGUAGGGGAGACUGGAAUUCCUGGUGUAGCGGUGGAAUGCGCAGAUAUCAGGAGGAACACCAAUGGCGAAGGCAGGUCUCUGGGCCACAACUGACGCUGAUGCACGAAAGCUAGGGGAGCAAACAGG
rnacentral:rRNA from 1 species